rnacentral:rRNA from 1 species
GAGUUUGAUCCUGGCUCAGGAUAAACGCUGGCGGCGCACAUAAGACAUGCAAGUCGAACGGACUUAACUCAUUCUUUAGUUUGAGAGCGGUUAGUGGCGGACUGGUGAGUAACACGUAAGCAACCUGCCUAUUAGAGGGGAAUAACAGUGAGAAAUCAUUGCUAAUACCGCAUAUGCUAACAGUAUCGCAUGAUACAGUUAGGAAAGGAGCAAUCCGCUAAUAGAUGGGCUUGCGUCUGAUUAGUUAGUUGGUGGGGUAACGGCCUACCAAGACUACGAUCAGUAGCCGGACUGAGAGGUUGAACGGCCACAUUGGGACUGAGAUACGGCCCAGACUCCUACGGGAGGCAGCAGUCGGGAAUAUUGCGCAAUGGAGGAAACUCUGACGCAGUGACGCCGCGUAUAGGAAGAAGGUUUUCGGAUUGUAAACUAUUGUCGUUAGGGAAGAUAAAAGACUGUACCUAAGGAGGAAGCCCCGGCUAACUAUGUG